GCUUCGGUGGUACAGUGGUAGAGCACGCGUCCCCCGAUAGGAUAAAACGCGGAUUCGAUUCCCGUCUGAGGUC